GAUGAACGCUAGCGGCAGGCCUAAUACAUGCAAGUCGAACGGUAACAUGAGUAGCAAUACUUGAUGACGAGUGGCGCACGGGUGCGUAACGCGUAUGCAAUCUACCUUUAACUGGUGAAUAGCCCGAAGAAAUUCGGAUUAAUACACCAUAGUAUAUUGAGGAGGCAUCUCCUUAAUAUUAAAACUCCGGUGGUUAAAGAUGAGCAUGCGUGACAUUAGCUAGUUGGUGAGGUAACGGCUCACCAAGGCAACGAUGUCUAGGGGAUCUGAGAGGAUUAACCCCCACACUGGGACUGAGACAGGGACCAGACUCCUACGGGAGGCAGCAGUAAGGAAUAUUGGACAAUGGUCGCAAGACUGAUCCAGCCAUGCCGCGUGAAGGAUGACGGCCCUAUGGGUUGUAAACUUCUUUUGUACGGGAAAAAACCCUUCUACGUGUAGAGGGCUGAUUGUACCGUAAGAAUAAGGAUCGGCUAACUCCAUGCCAGCCGCCGCCGUAA
rnacentral:rRNA from 1 species